rnacentral:rRNA from 1 species
AAGGUAGCGCAAUCACUUGUUCUUUAAAUAAGGACUAGUAUGAACGGCAUCACGAGGAUUACACUGUCUCCCCCCCCCAAUCAAUGAAACUGACCUCCCCGUGAAGAAGCGGGGAUAAGCAUAUAAGACGAGAAGACCCUAUGGAGCUUUAAACACAUCACCACUUAUCUUAACCCACCCCUCUAAGACAGAUAAAGCUGGUGUCCGUUUUCAGUUGGGGUGACUGCGGAGCAUAAUAAAACCUCCACGAUGAAAACCAAUCCAAGAACAACGCUUCUAAGAAUCAAUAAAUUGACAUAAAUUGACCCAAAUAAUAAUUUGAUCAACGAACCAAGUUACCCUAGGGAUAACAGCGCAAUCCAUUUCAAGAGCUCAUAUCGACAAAUGGGUUUACGACCUCGAUGUUGGAUCAGGGUAUCCCAGUGGUGCAGCCGCUACUA